UACAGAGGAUGCAAGCGUUAUCCGGAAUGAUUGGGCGUAAAGCGUCUGUAGGUGGCUUUUUAAGUCCGCCGUCAAAUCCCAGGGCUCAACUCUGGACAGGCGGUGGAAACUACCAAGCUGGAGUACGGUAGGGGCAGAGGGAAUUUCCGGUGGAGCGGUGAAAUGCGUAGAUAUCGUCUGGAACGCCGAAGGUGAAAACAGCUCGCUGGGGCGGCGCUGACGCUGAGACACGAAAGCCAGGGGAGCGAACGGG
rnacentral:rRNA from 1 species